rnacentral:rRNA from 1 species
GAUGAACGCUAGCUACAGGCUUAACACAUGCAAGUCGAGGGACCGGCACACGGGUGAGUAACACGUAUCCAAGCUUCACUUUACUGGAUGAUAGCCUUUCGCAAGAAAUAUUAAUACAUGACAUAAAGGACGGGGAUGCGUUACAUUAGUUUGUUGGUGAGGUAACGGCCCACCAAGCGUUCGAUGGCUAGGGGUUCUGAGAGGAAGGUACACUACAUUGGAGCCAAGACCCGGUCUAAACUCGUACGGGAGGCAGCAGUAAAGAAUAUUGUUCAAUCAGCGCUAGCCUGAACCAGCCAAGUAGAGGAAAGAGUCAAUGGUUAUGAGACGUAAGCUUCCUGUGUGUAAGGAGAUGUAUUAUAUGAAUAAGGAUCGGCUAACUCCGUGCCAGCAGCCGCGGUAAUAC